UGGUCUCUUGUGACUGGCUUCCUUCACUUACGUUUUUUCAAGGGAGUCCACAUCAAGUCUUCUGAAACACGCUGCCAUGGAGAAGAGGAGAAGGAGUGGCAGAGUGUGGGUUUAACUGCUGAUAUUAAUCGCUGCAUGUGGGCUUGGGGGCAGAUGUCUCCCUCUCCUAUCACGUGUGCCCGUGCAGGAGUUUCCCCAGCCCGCCUCCACUGCUUCCUCUGUCCGAGAUGGAGUGGCAGUGGCAGUAUUUCUACAACUCUGACCAAAUUCAGUGAGAAGCUCUGAAGUACUGGUGCUUAGUUUUUUAGAAGAAAAAUUAAGAUGACUUAAAACUUCCUAGACUACCUAGUCAAAGUGCCACUAAUUUAUCCAAAAUCCUCUACUAUUAUGAAAAAAAUAAGUCAUUUCAAGACAGCAAACUUGGACAAAACUAUCAGCCACUAGAAUCGCUUUUUUACAAUCAAAUAAAAAUUGAUGAAGCAAA